rnacentral:snRNA from 1 species
GCAGAGUGCUCGCUUCAGCAGCAAAAAUUGGAUCGAUACCUCGAAGAUUAGCAUGGCCCCUGCACAAGAGUGACAUGCAUAUUUGUGAAGCGUUCCACAUUUUU